AUUGAACGCUGGCGGCAUGCCUUACACAUGCAAGUCGAACGGCAGCGCGGGUGCUUGCACCUGGUGGCGAGUGGCGAACGGGUGAGUAAUACAUCGAAACGUACCUUAUCGUGGGGGAUAACGCAGCGAAAGUUGCGCUAAUACCGCAUACGCCCUGAGGGGGAAAGCGGGGGACCGUAAGGCCUCGCGCGAUUAGAGCGGCCGAUGUCUGAUUAGCUUGUUGGUGAGGUAAAGGCUCACCAAGGCGAUGAUCAGUAGCUGGUCUGAGAGGACGAUCAGCCACACUGGGACUGAGACACGGCCCAGACUCCUACGGGAGGCAGCAGGGGGGAAUUUUGGACAAUGGGGGCAACCCUGAUCCAGCAAUGCCGCGUGAGUGAAGAAGGCCUUCGGGUUGUAAAGCUCUUUUGUCAGGGAAGAAACACCGGCUCUAACACAGUCCGGGAAUGACGGUACCUGAAGAAUAAGCACCGGCUAACUACGUGCCAGCAGCCGCCGUAA
rnacentral:rRNA from 1 species